UCCGGAGGGGGCGAGCGUUAAUCGGAAUUACUGGGCGUAAAGGGUGGGUAGGUGGUUGAUUAAGUUAUCUGUGAAAUACCUGGGCUUAACCUGGGACGGUCAGAUAAUACUGGUUGACUCGAGUAUGGGAGAGGGUAGUGGAAUUUCCGGUGUAGUGGUGAAAUGCGUAGAGAUCGGAAGGAACACCAGUGGCGAAGGCGGCUACCUGGCCUAAUACUGACACUUAGGCACGAAAGCGUGGGGAGAAAACAGG
rnacentral:rRNA from 1 species